rnacentral:miRNA from 1 species
UUGAGGAGGCCUUGGC